rnacentral:rRNA from 1 species
CCCUUAGAUGCUCUGGGCCGCACGCGCGCUACACUGACCGAUGCACUGAGUUUCUUUCCUUGGCCGACAGGCCUGGGCAAUCUUUGAACAUCGGUCGUGAUGGGGAUAGAUUCUUGUAAUUUUUGAUCUUCAACGAGGAAUUCCUAGUAAACGCAAGUCAUCAGCUUGCAUUGAUUACGUCCCUGCCCUUUGUACACACCGCCCGUCGCACCUACCGAUUGAAUCGUCCGGUGAAAUCUCCGGACUGGCGCGAGUCCAAGUUCUUGGACGAGUGCUGGAAAGUUGAUUAAACCUUACGAUUUAGAGGAAGGUGAAGUCGUAACA